rnacentral:sRNA from 1 species
GGAAGGAUCAUUAUCGUUAAACCGAGGCGCGACGGCUGUCGCUGACCUUCCCCGGUCGUGCACGCCCGAGCCCCUCUCACAAUCCAUCUCACCCUUUGUGCAUCACCGCGUGGGUCCUCCUUUGCCGGAGGGUCCGCGUCUUUACACAAAACUCGAUACAGUGUAGAAUGUUUAUUUUCGCGCUCGCACGCGAUCAAUAAUACAACUUUCAACAACGGAUCUCUUGGCUCUCGCAUCGAUGAAGAACGCAGCGAAAUGCGAUACGUAAUGUGAAUUGCAGAAUUCAGUGAAUCAUCGAAUCUUUGAACGCACCUUGCGCCCCUUGGCAUUCCGAGGGGCACACCCGUUUGAGUGUCGUGAAAUCUUCAAAAACCCUCUCUUUUGAGGAUUUUUGGACUUGGAGGUUCAAUGCUCGCUUUCGCCUUUUAGAAAGCGAGCUCCUCUCAAAUGAAUCAGUGGGGUCUGCUUUGCCGGUCCUUGACGUGAUAAGAUCUUUCUACGUUUUGGAUUCGACAUCGUCCCGCUCCCAAUCGUCCCACGGACAAAAGGAUGGUGCUCCGGUCGCGGUCGGACCCACCAAAAAAACCUUGACCUCAAAUCGGGUGAGACUACCCGCUGAACUUAAGCAUAUCAAUAAGCGGAGGAAAAGAAACUAACAAGGAUUCCCCUAGUAACUGCGAGUGAAGCGGGAAAAGCUCAAAUUUAAAAUCUGGUGGUCUUUGGCCAUCCGAGUUGUAAUCUAGAGAUAGCGUCUUCCGCGCUUGGACCGUGCACAAGUCUCCUGGAACGGAGCGUCGUAGAGGGUGAGACAUCCCGUCUUUGGCAUGGACACACCAGGGCUUUUUGCGAUGCGCUCUCGAAGAGUCGAGUUGUUUGGGAAUGCAGCUCAAAUGGGUGG